rnacentral:rRNA from 1 species
UCAAGCGAACAAGGGCGCAGGGCGAAUGCCUUGGCACUGGGAGCCGAUGAAAGACGUGAUAAGCUGCGAUAAGCUUCGGGGAGCUGCAAAUAAGCAUUGAUCCGGAGAUUUCUGAAUGAGGAAACUCACCUGGGUUCAUACUCAGGUACGUUAUACUGAACUUCAAAAUAGGUAUAUCGAGGGAACCGCCUGAACUGAAACAUCUAAGUAGGGCGAGGAAGAGACAUCAAACGAGAUUCCGUAAGUAGUGGCGAGCGAACGCGGAAGAGGGCAAACCGAGAGUAGAAAUACUUUCGGGGUACGGACUGCUUUUAGGACUUAAUCUGUUAACCGAACGGCAUGGGAAGGCCGGUCAGAGAGUGUGAGAACCACGUAGGUGAAAACGGAGAGAGCUGCGCAGAUUCCAGAGUACGGCCAGACACGUGAAACCUGGUCGGAAGAUGGGGGGACCACCCUCCAACCCUAAAUACUACCCAGUGACCGAUAGCGUAUAGUACUGUGAAGGAAAGGUGAAAAGCACCCCGGGAGGGGAGUGAAAAAGAACCUGAAACCCUGUGCCUACAAGCACCUAGAGCACGUCAAUGUGUGAUAGGGUACUUUUUGUAGAACGGUCCGGCGAGCGAUUGUAUGCAGCAAGGUUAAGGACUUAAGGUCUGGAGCCGAAGCGAAAGCGAGUUUGAAAAGGGCGUUAAGUUGCAUAUAAUGGGCCCGAAACCGGGUGACCUACCCAUGGUCAGGUUGAAGUGGAAGUAAAAUUCCAUGGAGGACCGAACCGACCUCCGUUGAAAAGGCGGCGGAUGAACUGUGGGUAGCGGAGAAAUUCCAAUCGAACCCGGAGAUAGCUGGUUCUCCCCGAAAUAGUUUUAGGACUAGCCUCAAGUUAGAUACCUGGAGGUAAAGCACUGAAUAGCCUAGCGGCCGAGAGGUUAGCGAAGCUUAUCAAACUCAGAAUGCCAGAGUAUUGAUGCUUGGGAGUCAGACAGUGUCAGAUAAAUGUCAUUGUCAAAAGGGAAACAGCCCAGAUCUACAGCUAAGGUCCCAAAGUCAGGUUAAGUGGAAAACGAUGUGAAGAUACGCAGACAACCAGGAUGUUGGCUCAGAAGCAGCCACUCAUUCAAAGAGUGCGUAAUAGCUCACUGGUCGAGCGUCUUUGCGCGGAGAAUUUAACGGGGCUAAACCUGACACCGAAGCUUAGGCAAUACAGCAAUGUAUUGGGUAGGGGAGCGUUGUAUACGCGGUGAAACAGUAGCGCAAGCGGCUGUGGAGUGUAUAGAAGUGAGAAUGCCGGAAUGAGUAGCGCGAAUGCAGUGAGAAUCUGCAUGGCCGAAAGCCUCAGGUUUCUGGAGGAAGGUUCGUCCGCUCCAGGUUAGUCGGGAGCUAAGGUGAGGCCGAAAGGCGUAGCCGAUGCACAGACGGUAGAGAUUCCGUCACCACCAAAAGAGUUAAGCACAGGGACACAUUUGAAGUCUCAGAGCCGGGUGUUGGUUCCGGUAGAGAUCGAGGGAAAUUAGUACCGAAGUCUGAGAUGGAAGAUGGCGAGAAAAGCUGUGUGUAUUUCUGAGGUGCCCGUACCGCAAACCGACACAGGUAGGUAGGAAGAAGAUUCUAAGGCCAACGGGAGAAGGGUUGUUAAGGAACUCGGCAAAUUGACCCCGUAACUUCGGGAGAAGGGGUGCUCCAGAGAUGGAGCCGCAGAGAAUCGGCCCAAGCAACUGUUUACCAAAAACACAGGUUUGUGCUAAAUCGAAAGAUGACGUAUACGAGCUGACGCCUGCCCGGUGCUGGAAGGUUAAGAGGAGAUGUGCAAGCAUUGAAUCGAAGCCCCAGUGAACGGCGGCCGUAACUAUAACGGUCCUAAGGUAGCGAAAUUCCUUGUCAGGUAAG